CGUCUAAGAUUUUGACUCGUUUUGUUAUUGAGACCGAAUUUGCAUAAUCUGAUAACAAUGCUGUGACAAAUCCAUUUGCAAAGUGCUAGGGACCAAAAUAAUAUACUUCAUCGAUUUACUCAGCAGGUCAGUUAUUGAAUUUGAAUAUUGACUAUAUAUAUGUGAAAUCUUCACUGUCAGAUUUGAUUAUUCUUUCAUAGAGGAAUUCACAGUAGAAACAAGAAGGCAAAGGAGUACAUAGCCAAAUGUUGGAAUUCUUUGAAGGAAGUUGAUGGAGUAAGGGAUUAUUGGGACUAUAAUGACGUAAAGUUGAUUCCUUUCCUAUGGAGGGGCUGCUUUAUUGGUUGAAGCUGCAGCAUAGGUGAUCCAGAUGCACAAUAUGAACUAGAAUAAAUAUGUUUAGUCGGAUCAUCAAGCAUUCUAUUUGGAGAAGGCUGUUGAUAAGGUACAUUUUUUUUGUUGCACGUUUUUUUUUGUACAUAAUAGUGUCUUCUGAAGA